rnacentral:lncRNA from 1 species
GGAUCUUAGCUGUCCCGUGACACUUCCUACGGCUGCCAUAGGGUCUCAGAAGGCGGUAAAAAGCUGAAUCGUGGCUUUGCAGGCUCUGGCUGAAAAAAAGUAGCGCGUUUGGGUAGUGGCUGGUUACAGUACUGUGAGACUCAGGCUCGUGCCCGCGUCGACCGAAAGCUUUGUUUACUUUCCUCUGUUUAGCUAAAUGGACAUUCCCGGUCGGAAUAUUAUCGCUUUUUUACGAGAAAAAUGGCAUAAAAAUGGAUUUUAAACAGCGGUUGACAUGCUUCGAAGUACAGUAAUGGAAUAUUUAGAUUUUUUUUGUCACGAAUUGCGCCAUGCGCAAGACCCUGAUUUACCAUUUCAGAUAGUGUCUGGGACGCACGAACAAAACGCCGCUAUUCGGAUAUAACGAUGGAUUAUUUUGGACCAAACCAACAUUUGUUAUUGAAGUAGCAGUCCUGGGAGUGCAUUCUGACGAAGACAACAAAAGCUUACAGAAUCCCUGGCCCUAACCUUAAACUUCACAAACACACAGCACUUUGUACAAGGUUGGUGGGCUGCAUCCAACACACAGAGGGGGGCAGAGACACGGACUUUACACAGACCCGGUGACAACAGACCAUACAAACAUGCCGACAACCAUCCGUGGAGAUCAGUCGACAGAGGGCCGGACAACGGGCCGCACCAAAAAAACGCAUGGUUGCCAAGAAAGCGGCCACUGGAUUGAAUGGGGGCUCAGGGCAGUACCAUUCUGCUCAUCUGAUGAAGGUGCACAUGGAUCACAUUCAAACUGACAGAGAUCGAGUUAGAGGCAGACCAGCAGAAAGAGAAACAUUAUCGGAGGGCAGAGAUACGGGCGACAGCUGAUGCAUUGGUCCAGAACCAGGCAGCAUUGGCGGAGAGACAGGCGGAGAAUGGCGCUUUGAAGAGGGCGAGGAACAAGAUGGAGUUACAAUCCAUGCCAGGCACACCUGUGAGCUCUGGAACUCCACCUCCGACAGGCAGAGUCAACAUACCUGGCGUGUUCAUCAGGUUAUCGGUUCACCCUGACAUUUCCAUUCCUCUUCUGACAACAGAACUUGGC